AAUCACUUGUUGUGAAUGUAUGAACAAUGUGAUUGUUUCUGUGUUGUUAUGAACUAUGCAGUAGGCAAUUAUGGACAAAUCAUUGUUAUUUGUAUGUGAAUUAUUGGAUAUUUGUUGUUGUUUAUGUAAGUGAUUUGCUGUUGUUUAUAUAAUUGACGCGAGGACGGGAUCCCCGCGGGGAUUUAAUCCCCGAGCGGGGACAGGGAUGGGGCAGAAGUUCUCCCCGUGACCCUUCACGGGGACGGGGAUGGGAGAGAAUUUGGCUCCGCGGGGACGGGUUUGGGACAGUAACCUCCGACGCGGAAUUCCGGACACUCCUAGCCACACUCCGCGUUCUUCUGCCGGAUGUGAAAUCUGGCGUGGCAUUAAGCGGAAAUAACGGGCUCAUUUUCUUUGCCCAGAGAAAUAUUGAAAUGUCAAUGUGGAAAUUUUUCGACGAAGCAAGCACAGGCAAAUGGUUGGGGCUGGGUACAGAAAUCAGGCCGUGAGCUUAAAAGAAAAAAAAAACAACCAGCCCAUGAAUGUUGCACGUUGAGAAAUGAGCCCAGGAUGCAAACACAAAACUCAAAAGGGUUAAGCUGAGUGAUCAACAUCGUCAGGCCUGUCCUGGCCUAGCCAUGACAUGAGCCCACGAUCCAUCAUGAUUUCAGAUUGAUGCAAGUCGGUCUUGAGGACCGGUAGCCCAAACCAAACAACCAUGAUCUGGAACGGGGCCUUUAGUUCCAAAAAAAACUUAUAAAAAAUUUUGAAUUCUCACGGCACAUGCAUAAAACAUUAAAUAUAGAUAAAAAUAAUAAUUAAUUAUAUAAUUUGUCUAUAAUUUACGAGACGAAUUUUUUAAGCCUAGUUAGUCAAUGAUUAGACAAUAUUUGUCAAAUAAAAAUAAAAGUACUACAAUGUCACUUCAAGGUACUUUACCAUCACGGUCACUGAUCAGACCUGAUAAUUACCUGAUUGUCUCUUUCUUGUCACACGCGGGAAGGGCAGCCUCGAACCAAAGUGCAAAGCGCCAACGGCCGCACGUCAUGGUGAUGCUAUC
rnacentral:lncRNA from 1 species